rnacentral:rRNA from 1 species
CCCUUAGAUGUUCUGGGCCGCACGCGCGCUACACUGACGAAUGCAACGAGCUUAUAACCUUGGCCGAAAGGUCUGGGUAAUCUCCAAAUUUCGUCGUGAUGGGGAUAGAUUAUUGCAAUUACUAAUCUUCAACGAGGAAUGCCUAGUAAGCGCAAGUCAUCAGCUUGCGUUGAUUACGUCCCUGCCCUUUGUACACACCGCCCGUCGCUCCUACCGAUUGAAUGGUCCGGUGAAGCGUUCGGACCGUGGCCUUUGGACGGUUCGCCGUCUGUUGGCUGCGGGAAGUUCGUUAAACCUUAUCAUUUAGAGGAAGGAGAANUCGUANCA